rnacentral:rRNA from 1 species
UAACGACUUCCCAACUGUCUCAACCAUAGACUCGGCGAAAUUGCACUACGAGUAAAGAUGCUCGUUACGCGCGGCAGGACGAAAAGACCCCGGGACCUUCACUACAACUUGGUAUUGGUGUUCGGUACUGUUUGUGUAGGAUAGGUGGGAGACUGUGAAGCUCGGACGCCAGUUCGAGUGGAGUCGUUGUUGAAAUACCACUCUGACCGUAUUGGACACCUAACUUCGAACCCUUAUCGGGUUCAGGGACAGUGCCUGGCGGGUAGUUUAACUGGGGCGGUUGCCUCCUAAAAUGUAACGGAGGCGCCCAAAGGUUCCCUCAACCUGGACGGCAAUCAGGUGUUGAGUGUAAAUGCACAAGGGAGCUUGACUGCGAGACCUACAAGUCAAGCAGGGACGAAAGUCGGGAUUAGUGAUCCGGCACCCCCGAGUGGAAGGGGUGUCGCUCAACGGAUAAAAGGUACCCCGGGGAUAACAGGCUGA